CCUUUUUGCUUGCCAAACUUUGUCUUGAAUCCAGAGGUUAGAUGUGUUGAAGCUCUGACUUUGUGGCGCAACAAUUCUUCUGAUAUAAACAAUGAGCUAUAUAAAGGUUACCCAAAUGGGAACCCAGAGAGGAAAGUUAAUGAAAUACUUGCAACCUAUGAUUUCUUAAACUCAAAUGAGAACAGUUUUAAUGCAAUCCUAUGGUACAAUUCAAGCUUGAGGAGGAGUGUUGGUUCUGAUCUGCAGCGGAUUGGGCGCUCAGUGAAUCUGGCAUCCAAUGCCUACCUUCAGUUUUUGCAAGGACCUGGUACCAAAAUGCUGUUUGAGUUUGUCAAAGAAAUGCCUAAGCCUGUAACCAACGUAGUAAGCAUGCCGGAUCUUUCCUCUCUAAUUGGUCCACUCUUCUUUACAUGGAUCAUUUUACUGCUGUUCCCGGUUGUGUUGAAGUCACUGGUUUACGAGAAACAACAAAAACUGAGAAUCAUGAUGAAAAUGCAUGGCCUUGGUUAUGGACCGUAUUGGAUGAUCUCCUAUGCCUAUUUUCUUGCAGUUUCUUUGAUCUACAUGCUGCUCUUUAUGGCAGUUGGCUCCAUCAUAGGGUUAAAAUUCUUCACAAUCAAUGACUACAGCAUCCAGUUUGUUUUAUACUUCAUCUAUAUGAACUUGCAAAUAGCGGCGGCUUUCCUAGUAGCUUCAAUGUUUUCAAACGUUAAGGCUUGUACAGCUAUAGGUUACAUUCUGGUCUUUGGAACUGGGCUUUUGGCAGAAAAUCUUUUUCGAAGAUGCAUCUGUCUCUAGACGUGGGAUAAUUCUUUUACAAUUGUAUCCUGGCUUCUCUCUGUAUCGUGGAUUAUAAGAGCUAGCACAAUACCCCUUGCAAGAAAAAAGGGUUGGGAUGCGAUGGAGCAAUUUGAAUGAUAACCAGAAUGGGAUGAAAAAGGUCUUCAUUAUCAUGGUUAUUGAGUGGUUUGUGGUGCUUUUUGUUGCAUAUUGCAUUGACCAAGUUGUAUCAUCUGGAAGUGGAAAAAGUCCUUUAUUUCUCUUGCAAAGGAUUAGGAAGAAGAAACUUGCAUCUCUAAGGAGGCCUAGUUUGCAAAGGCAGGGAUCAAAAGUUUCCAUUCAGAUGGAGAAACCUGAUGUUAGUCAUGAGAUCGAGAUGGUUGAUAGGUUGGUAUUGGAAAAAAAUACAAGUCAUGCGAUCGUUUGUGACAACCUCAAAAAGGUGUAUCCGGGAAGAGAUGGAAACCCUGAGAAAUUUGCAGUGAAAGGGUUGUCUCUUGCUUUGCCUCCAGGGGAGUGCUUUGGUAUGCUUGGCCCCAAUGGUGCAGGGAAGACCUCUUUUAUUAGUAUGAUGACUGGUCUCACAAAACCAACCUCUGGCACAGCAUAUGUUCAUGGUAUGGACAUUCCGACGCAAAUGAACGAUAUAUAUACCAGCAUGGGAUUUUGUUCACAGCAUGACCUACUAUGGGAAACACUGACUGGAAGGGAGCAUCUACUAUUUUAUGGCAGACUUAAGAACCUCAAAGGUCGUGCCUUAAUGCAAGCAGUGGAAGAUUCUUUGAAGAGUGUCAAGCUUUUUGAUGGUGGGAUUGCUGACAAACAAGCAGGGAAAUACAGUGGAGGCAUGAAGACAAGGCUUAGCAUCGCAAUUUCGCUGAUAGGGGACCCCAAAGUUGUUUACAUGGACGAGCCUAGUACUGGACUUGAUCCAUCUUCAAGAAACCAUCUACGGAAUGUUAUAAAGACUGCAAAACAAGACCGGGCAAUCAUCCUAACCACACAUUCCAUGGAAGAGGCAGAGGUCCUGUGUGAUCGAUUAGGAAUUUUCGUAGACAGCAGGAUGCAGUGUAUAGGAAACCCAAAAGAGCUGAAGGGGAGAUAUGGAGGAUUGUAUGUCUUUACGAUGACAACAAGUUGGGAACACGAGGAAGAAGUGGACAGGAUAGUCCAGAAGUUGUCACCCACCGCGAACAAGACAUAUCGCCUGUCAGGGACACAAAAGUUUGAGCUGCCCAAAAAUCAGGUCAGAAUUGCAGAUGUAUUCCAAGCAGUGGAGUUUGCAAAGAGUAGAUUCCCAGUGUUUGCAUGGGGUGUGGUUAACAUUACUUUGGAGGAUGUCUUCAUUAAGGUUGCUGCAGCUGCAGCUGCAGCUGCAUUUUCAUCAUAUGAUAUAUGAAACCCCAACGUAGUACUAGAUUUUAACUUGAUUAACUGUUGAAUAUUGUUAGAAGAUGCAUUUAAUAUGCCUGCC